GACGAACGCUGGCGGCGUGCUUAACACAUGCAAGUCGAACGGAAAGGCCCUGCUUGCAGGGUACUCGAGUGGCGAACGGGUGAGUAACACGUGGGUGAUCUGCCCUGCACUUCGGGAUAAGCUUGGGAAACUGGGUCUAAUACCGGAUAGGAGCCAUCUUUAGUGUGGUGGUUGGAAAGUUUUUUCGGUGUAGGAUGAGCUCGCGGCCUAUCAGCUUGUUGGUGGGGUAAUGGCCUACCAAGGCGGCGACGGGUAGCCGGCCUGAGAGGGUGUACGGCCACAUUGGGACUGAGAUACGGCCCAGACUCCUACGGGAGGCAGCAGUGGGGAAUAUUGCGCAAUGGGCGCAAGCCUGAGGCAGCGACGCCGCGUGGGGGAUGAAGGCCUUCGGGUUGUAAACUCCUUUCGCUAGGGACGAAGCUUUUUUGUGACGGUACCUAGAUAAGAAGCACCGGCUAACUACGUG
rnacentral:rRNA from 1 species